rnacentral:rRNA from 1 species
UACGUAGGGGGCAAGCGUUGUCCGGAUUUAUUGGGCGUAAAGAGCUCGUAGGUGGUUUGGUAAGUCGGAUGUGAAAUCUCCAGGCUCAACCUGGAGGGGUCAUUCGAUACUGCCAUGACUAGAGGUCGGUAGGGGAGUGUGGAAUUCCCGGUGUAGUGGUGAAAUGCGUAGAUAUCGGGAGGAACACCAGUGGCGAAGGCGACUCUUUGGCCUGUAACUGACGCUGAGGCGCGAAAGCGUGGGGAGCAAACAGG